UGUCCUCGAAAAUGUAAAGUACAUGCUACUUAUAGCAAAAUAUUCCGAAACCCUAAUACUCAAAACGACGCAGUAUUGAGACGGAUUAAGAACUGUACUCGACCUAGGUGGUCG
rnacentral:sRNA from 1 species